AUUGAACGCUGGCGGCAUGCCUUACACAUGCAAGUCGAACGGUAACGGGUCCUUCGGGAUGCCGACGAGUGGCGAACGGGUGAGUAAUAUAUCGGAACGUGCCCAGUAGUGGGGGAUAACUGCUCGAAAGAGCAGCUAAUACCGCAUACGACCUGAGGGUGAAAGGGGGGGAUCGCAAGACCUCUCGCUAUUGGAGCGGCCGAUAUCAGAUUAGCUAGUUGGUGGGGUAAAGGCCUACCAAGGCAACGAUCUGUAGUUGGUCUGAGAGGACGACCAGCCACACUGGGACUGAGACACGGCCCAGACUCCUACGGGAGGCAGCAGUGGGGAAUUUUGGACAAUGGGCGCAAGCCUGAUCCAGCAAUGCCGCGUGCAGGAAGAAGGCCUUCGGGUUGUAAACUGCUUUUGUCAGGGAAGAAAUCUUCUGGGCUAAUACCUCGGGAGGAUGACGGUACCUGAAGAAUAAGCACCGGCUAACUACGUGCCAGCAGCCGCAGUAACAC
rnacentral:rRNA from 1 species